CGCGCAGGUCGCGACACAGGGACGACGAGGACUCGACGGCCGCGUGAGCCACCCGCGCCGCGCCCCAUCCGGCCAUCCGCCACCUCUCCGCCGCGCGCGCGGCUGCGGUUGCUAUGCUACUCCGGCCACGCCUCUCCCUCCUCCGAGCCGUCGCGCCGCGCCCCGUCCCACCACCACCCCGCGCCUCGCUCCCCGUCCGUCGCACGCUCUCCUCGCCGGCCGGAGCGGCGAGGACCGCGUCCGCCGGCGAUGCGCCGCCGCCGGCGCAGCGAACCGGGCUCAAGGGCGGGAGGAAGAGCGCGCCACCGCCGCCGCCUCCCAGGGGUUCGUCCGUGAACCCCGCGCUGUUCUUCCCGCCGGGGGUGGAUCGGGACGCGGCGGUGGCGGCGGAGAUGGUGAUACCGGCGUCGAACAUCGUGGUAGGGCCCUACGCGGGGGACUCGCGGGUGAAGGAGGCGGAGUUCGUCAAGAGCAGCGCGCGCGCGCGGGACUGCCCCAAGGACGACCGCCCCGAGUUCGCCGUGCUGGGGCGCUCCAACGUCGGCAAGUCCUCGCUCAUCAACGCCCUUAUCCGCCGCAAGGAAGCCGCGCUCACCUCCAAAAAGCCUGGGAAGACCCAGACGAUUAAUCAUUUCUUGGUUAACAAAAGUUGGUACCUUGUGGAUUUGCCUGGUUACGGGUUUGCGGCUGCAUCUCAAUCUGCUCGAACAGAUUGGUCUUCAUUUACCAAGGGUUACUUCUUGAACAGAGAUACCUUGGUUGGCGUACUGCUCCUUGUUGAUGCCAGUAUUCCGCCUCAGAAAAUUGACAUAGACUGUGCCAAUUGGCUUGGCCGUAACAAUAUUGGAUUGACCUAUGUGUUCACAAAGUGUGAUAAAUCCAAGAAAGGUAAAGGGGGCCGGCCAGAGGAGAACAUCAAAGAGUUCCAGGAGACGAUCAGUUCCCUGUACCCAGAGCCUCCUCCAUGGAUCAUGACGAGUAGCGUUACUGGAUUAGGCCGAGAUGGGCUGCUCCUCCACAUGUCGCAGUUGAGGAAUUACUGGGACAAUGAAGCAACCAUGAGUCCAUGAUUUGCUUAGAAGAGGGAAGAGGGAAUUACAAACCACGAGUCCUUGACCCUUGCCGAUAUAUCUUGAAUUACAUGAGCUUUUAGUCCAGUUCCUUCUCAUUCUGUUGUAUGACCCUUUGGUUUAUAGUGGGAUACUAAGAGAGGCUUUGCGAUGUGGAGCUUCUUGUAAUUUCCCCUCCUCAGAGUCUCAGGUGUAUACAUUUAACAGGUUCUGCGGCGGCAGGGGGAGCGAUCUGGAACUAGACAACAGUUAUGGUGAAGGCAGCCUAGGAAAUUCAAAGGACUGUAAGCAUUCAAUGGCACGAAACUUAUUGCCAAAAAUUCUACUACUAGUACUGUGCAUUUCAUACAUUUCGUCGCCCGAUCCGACAGACUGCCGGCCUGGAUGGUUUUACACUUCAUGAUGGCAGUAACAAGCACUGCUAGUAAUUUUGAUGAUGUAAA